rnacentral:rRNA from 1 species
ACACAUGCAAGUCGAGGGGAAACGACAUCGAAAGCUUGCUUUUGAUGGGCGUCGACCGGCGCACGGGUGAGUAACGCGUAUCCAACCUGCCCACCACUUGGGGAUAACCUUGCGAAAGUAAGACUAAUACCCAAUGACGUCUCUAGAAGACAUCUGAAAGAGAUUAAAGAUUUAUCGGUGAUGGAUGGGGAUGCGUCUGAUUAGCUUGUUGGCGGGGUAACGGCCCACCAAGGCGACGAUCAGUAGGGGUUCUGAGAGGAAGGUCCCCCACAUUGGAACUGAGACACGGUCCAAACUCCUACGGGAGGCAGCAGUGAGGAAUAUUGGUCAAUGGGCGAGAGCCUGAACCAGCCAAGUAGCGUGCAGGAUGACGGCCCUAUGGGUUGUAAACUGCUUUUAUAAGGGAAUAAAGUGAGUCUCGUGAGACUUUUUGCAUGUACCUUAUGAAUAAGGACCGGCUAAUUCCGUGCCAGCAGCCGCGGUAAUACGGAAGGUCCGGGCGUUAUCCGGAUCUAUUGGGUUUAAAGGGAGCGUAGGCCGGAGAUUAAGCGUGUUGUGAAAUGUAGACGCUCAACGUCUGCACUGCAGCGCGGACUGGUUUCCUUGAGUACGCACAAAGUGGGCGGAAUUCGUGGUGUAGCGGUGAAACGCUUAGAUAUCACGAAGAACUCCGAUUGCGAAGGCAGCUCACUGGAGCGCAACUGACGCUGAAGCUCGAAAGUGCGGGUAUCGAACAGGAUUAGAUACCCUGGUAGUCCGCACGGUAAACGAUGGAUGCCCGCUGUUGGUCUGAAUAGGUCAGCGGCCAAGCGAAAGCAUUAAGCAUCCCACCUGGGGAGUACGCCGG